GGGGUGGGUUAAAAGGCCGAUCAUUUGUUGAAUGAAUGUGGUGUGGUCUCAUCCACCAGCUUACCAAGCUGGUGGUCGCGGGUUCAAAUCCCGCCCGGACCC
rnacentral:tRNA from 1 species